UACGUAGGGUGCGAGCGUUGUCCGGAAUUAUUGGGCGUAAAGAGCUCGUAGGCGGUUUGUUGCGUCGGCCGUGAAAACCUGCAGCUUAACUGUGGGCCUGCGGCCGAUACGGGCAGACUUGAGUUCGGUAGGGGAGACUGGAAUUCCUGGUGUAGCGGUGAAAUGCGCAGAUAUCAGGAGGAACACCGGUGGCGAAGGCGGGUCUCUGGGCAACUACUGACGCUGAGGAGCGAAAGCGUGGGGAGCGAACAGG
rnacentral:rRNA from 1 species